AGCCAAUGAGAUGGUCUUUAGUAAACGUAAGAUGGCUGCGCCCUUGAAUGCCGAUGAUUGCUUGUUCUUUCGGUAGGAUUGCAUGAAUAUGUUUCGGUAAUAUGACAGAUACGUAGAUCCCUGCGUUAGGCCGUAUCGAUACUUUGUGGAACUUGUGUGAAACGAAAAUGAUUCUGAAAAACCUAGAAAAAUGGAACGUGCGCGCCUCGAUGGCAUACGCUAUAGGUGUUUGGACAGUGAUUGGCUCGUGCGGAUACUAUAGGUUUUUUCGCAAGGAGAAAGAGGAUAAGCCGCAAAAUACGGAAGACGAAGAACUGCUCGUGGACAAAUUUUCGACAGAAGAGCAGGAGGGGAAACCGAAAGGCUUCCAAUCCCAAACCACAGUCGUUUACAAGGAGAAUUUCGUUCCUUAUUCUACAAGACUUUUCAAUUAUUUGAAAACUCUAAAUGGGGGUCCUGAAAGUACAGUGGAAAGCGACAAGUCUGAAAAGUGAUGUUCAAUGCCAAAAGAAUGCAUUUGUAUUUUUUUUUUGCUUUGCCCAUAAUUAAUUGAAAUUCUAACGACAAAAAGUAUAUUGUGUUUCAAACAGCUGUUUUCAAAAAAAUAUACACGAUGUAAUUUUUAUUAAAAAGAGGUCAUUUGUUCGUGAAGAAUAUUUUUAAUAUAUCUUUUUUUUUUUUUUUUUGCAAAUACAAUAUGGCCUUCCCUCAUAUUAGGUGCAGAAGAACAAGAGCUUCCCUCAUAAUCCAGAAUUUGAAGAAGGAAUCAAUCAAUGCUUAGCAUCUGACCAUCAGUUUAUAACUGAUGGUUGCUUGUUUGAAUCCUGACGUUGAACACUUUCUAUGGUGACUGUACUAUGUUGUACAGUAUGCUAAGUUGCCUAAGUGCUGAAGUGAAAGUUCAUAAUGUGGAAUACGUCAACCAGGAUGUUUGUGUCUUGUACACAAAUUAUGUGAUGAUGCAGAAUGCUAACUACUGAAAUUGGUGUUGUUUCAAAUGCUUGUAAUGUUCAAACUAAAGUUCAUGAGAAUGGUUAUUUCAAGACCAGUCUGGACAAUGUUCACUUCCGGUCUUGGAGCAAAAGAUACAGGCAGCACAAGAAAGGACACUGGUGUCUUUACAUCUUGCUAAAGAGCUACACCAGUCAUGGAGUACCUUGGUAGGAAGAAAAGGAACAACUGGGAUUUGUGGAUACUUUGAGGAGCCCUUUAUCAGUGAAGGGCCCAUAGCCAGAAAUUAUCCACCAAUUGCUGUAGGCUUUGUUGUAGCAUUACCAACAUACUCUGUGAUUGGUGGAGAUCGCCUCUGUGGUUUCUGAUAGUAAAGUGGUAAUGUUACUUCAGGCUUGCACUUUCCACAGCAAUCUUCUGAGAAUUAUCUCACUUUUUCUUGUUUUAUACACUUUUUAGAAGUUUUUUUUUUUGGUUCUUCUUAAAAAUUGCACUGCCCAAAAUGCAGUGGCUGAAAAGUAUGGGAACACAUAUUCCCCUAACUAUAAACUAAACUGUAUAUAAAGUGGAUUUGUGUGUGUGUGUGAGAGAGAGAGAGAGAGAGAGAGAAAUGCUGUACCUGUAUUAGUCAUCCAAGGAUUGCCCAGUGAAAAUGUAAGUUACACAAAAAAUGUACUGGGAUUACACCCCAACCUUAAAUAACCUUGAUGCUCCGGUGCACAUUAACCGGUUUACUGGUAUUUAAACGAUUGCCUGGACUAGAUAGUAAGAUUAUGAAUGUGAAUGUUGCAUAUCUGGUUCUGAUGCAAUACCAUUUUGAUAAGCAAGGGGGCGGUGGUAAAACAACACCGGUAGCCAGAUAACGUCUGGAAAAUCUGAACGUGCUGUUACUGCAGUGGAAGUGAGGAACCGUGAAAUAACACCAUGAAAGCAAUCAUUCAGAGAGUAGCGAAAGCAAGCGUGACAGUGGGAGGGGAGCAGGUCAGUUCCAUUGAAAGAGGCCUGUGUGUUCUGCUGGGCAUUUCUUUGGAGGAUACACAGAAGGAUGUUGACUACAUGGUGCGGAAGAUCCUGAACCUGCGGCUGUUCGAGGACGAGAACGGGCGCGCCUGGAGCCGCAGCGUGAUGGACCGGGGGCUGGAGGUGCUGUGCGUCAGCCAGUUCACCCUGCAGUGCAUCCUCAAGGGCAACAAGCCCGACUUCCACGCCGCCAUGCCCGCCGAGCUGGCGCAGCCCUUCUACUACAGCAUGCUGGAGCACAUGAGGACCGCCUACCAGCCCGAGCUCAUCAAGGAUGGGCAGUUUGGGGCUUAUAUGCAGGUCCACAUACAGAACGAUGGACCCGUCACCGUCGAGCUGGAGUCUCCCACAGGGCCGACGGACCCCAAAAUGCUCUCCAAGCAGGAGAAGCAGCAGCAGAGGAAGGAGAAGACGCGGCCCAAGCCCCCCUCGGAUUCGGCGCGGGAGAAGGCCGCCUCGCGCCCCAAGGUGGACCCCAGCGCCAGCAGCGGGGCGGAGGGGGACGUCUCGUCCGAGAGGGAGCCCUAAUCCCCGAAAACGGGUUGCCAGAGUCCGUGAAUGAGCUCCAGCGCAUCAGGAUUCAGAGAUUUGGCAGAAAGCGCUGUUGCUGAGACUUAACGAACUACCCAGAAUCCCCGGGAGAGUUUAACAUCUUCGGCGACAUCCCCCCCCUCCCCCACCACCCGCCACGAACCUCGCCGUUUCCAGACGUGCCUCCCUCUGGGGGGGGGGGGGGGGAUUGGGCAGCGGGGACGCCACCGCUUUCUCUGUCCGCCAUCGACACCACGGAAACCGACGCCACUCCUGCCACCACCGCCUCUCCGCCCGCUUUGGAAGGACGGGGCGAAAGGCACCGUAUUUCAACCAAAACACUCUGAACGAUGACAGAGAAAGUGCCGGAAACAGACGUCAACAUCUGAGUCCCGGCGAGAUUUAUUCUCAUUGGUCAUCGCUUUACGCGUUGGUUCCCCCGCCCCCUCCCGUCCCCUGUCUUGAGCGUAAUGCGUCUUCACAUCUUUGAUCUGUCGGUCUGUGGGUUUGAACGUAAAGUUGGAUUUGUAUGCAUUUUGUGUCUUUUUUUGGAAAGGAAAAAAAAUACACACAUAUCUGCUGUCUUUUUUUUAGGAGCCCAGCUUUCAGACUGUACUGUUUAUCUUGUUUUGUUUGCAUGAUCUUUGUAAAUAUGAUAUGUGGUGCAUCAUGUCUACUCUCUGUGCUUGUGAGUGCGUGUUUAUGCAUAUAUGUGUGUGUGUGUUUGUGUGUGUGUGUGUUUGUGACCUCUACGCGGUGUUUUGUUCAGUCUUACACUGGCUACGGAGGCAGGACUUGCACAUCAUGGAUGUAUACUGGAAGCCAUUAAAGCAGCUAUAAAUUACAUUUCCA